AGCGAACGCUGGCGGCAGGCCUAAAACAUGCAAGUCGAACGCCGUAGCAAUACGGAGUGGCAGACGGGUGAGUAACACGUGGGAACAUACCCUUUGGUUCGGAACAACACAGGGAAACUUGUGCUAAUACCGGAUAAGCCCUUACGGGGAAAGACUUAUCGCCGAAGGAUUGGCCCGCGUCUGAUUAGCUAGUUGGUGGGGUAACGGCCCACCAAGGCUACGAUCAGUAGCUGGUCUGAGAGGAUGAUCAGCCACACUGGGACUGAGACACGGCCCAGACUCCUACGGGAGGCAGCAGUUAGGAAUCUUGGACAAUGGGCGCAAGCCUGAUCCAGCCAUGCCGCGUGAGUGAUGAAGGCCUUAGGGUUGUAAAGCUC
rnacentral:rRNA from 1 species